UACAGAGGUCCCGAGCGUUGUUCGGAUUCACUGGGCGUAAAGGGUGCGUAGGUGGCAUGUUAAGUUUGAUGUGAAAGCUCAGGGCUUAACCCUGAAAUGGCAUUGAAUACUAGCGUGUUGGAGGUUUGGAGGGGGACUGGAAUUCUCGGUGUAGCAGUGAAAUGCGUAGAUAUCAAGAGGAACACCUGAGGUGAAGACGGGUUGCUGGGCUGACACUGACGCUGAGGCGCGAAAGCUAGGGGAGCGAACGGG
rnacentral:rRNA from 1 species